GCCAAUAAAACUAACCUCUCUCCCAGGAAACGAUACAGAGAAGAUUAGCAUGGCCCCUGCACUAAGGAUGACACUCUAUUCAAAGAGAUGCUAAAGAUUU
rnacentral:misc_RNA from 1 species